CUACGGGGUGCACCAGUGAGGAAUAUUGCACAAUGGGGGGAACCCUGAUGCAGCAACGCCGCGUGGAGGAUGACGCAUUUCGGUGUGUAAACUCCUUUUAUAUGUCAAGAAAAUGACGGUAGCAUAUGAAUAAGCACCGGCUAACUCCGUGCCAGCAGCCGCGGUAAUACGGAGGGUGCAAGCGUUACUCGGAAUCACUGGGCGUAAAGGACGCGUAGGCGGGUUGGAAAGUCAGGUGUGAAAUCCUACAGCUUAACUGUAGAACUGCACUUGAAACUUCUAAUCUAGAGUAUGGGAGGGGGAGAUGGAAUUAGUGGUGUAGGGGUAAGAUCCGUAGAUAUCACUAGGAAUACCUAAAGCGAAGGCGAUCUCCUGGAACAUUACUGACGCUAAGGCGUGAUAGCGUGGGGAGCAAACAGGAUUAGAUACCCGGGUAGUC
rnacentral:rRNA from 1 species